rnacentral:rRNA from 1 species
GCAGUCGAGCGGAGUUAUAUUGGAAGCUUGCUUUCAUCUAACUUAGCGGCGGACGGGUGAGUAACACGUAGGUAACCUGCCUGUAAGACUGGGAUAACUACCGGAAACGGUAGCUAAUACCGGAUAAUCUGUUUCCUCUCCUGAGGAGACAGUGAAAGGCGGAGCAAUCUGCCACUUAUAGAUGGGCCUGCGGCGCAUUAGCUAGUUGGUGAGGUAACGGCUCACCAAGGCGACGAUGCGUAGCCGACCUGAGAGGGUGAACGGCCACACUGGGACUGAGACACGGCCCAGACUCCUACGGGAGGCAGCAGUAGGGAAUCUUCCGCAAUGGACGAAAGUCUGACGGAGCAACGCCGCGUGAGUGAUGAAGGUUUUCGGAUCGUAAAGCUCUGUUGCCAGGGAAGAACGCUUGGGAGAGUAACUGCUCUCAAGGUGACGGUACCUGAGAAGAAAGCCCCGGCUAACUACGUGCCAGCAGCCGCGGUAAUACGUAGGGGGCAAGCGUUGUCCGGAAUUAUUGGGCGUAAAGCGCGCGCAGGCGGUCAUUUAAGUCUGGUGUUUAAUCCCGGGGCUCAACCCCGGGUCGCACUGGAAACUGGGUGACUUGAGUACAGAAGAGGAGAGUGGAAUUCCACGUGUAGCGGUGAAAUGCGUAGAUAUGUGGAGGAACACCAGUGGCGAAGGCGACUCUCUGGGCUGUAACUGACGCUGAGGCGCGAAAGCGUGGGGAGCAAACAGGA